rnacentral:rRNA from 1 species
AGAGUUUGAUCCUGGCUCAGGAUGAACGCUAGCGGCAGGCCUAACACAUGCAAGUCGAGGGGUAAUCCCGCUUUCGGGCGGGAACGACCGGCGCACGGGUGAGUAACGCGUAUGCAACCUACCUUUAACUGGGGGAUAGCCCGAAGAAAUUCGGAUUAAUACCCCAUACAACUAUAGAUAAGCAUUUAUUUAUAUUAAAAACUCCGGUGGUUAAAGAUGGGCAUGCGUAACAUUAGUUAGUUGGUGAGGUAACGGCUCACCAAGACUACGAUGUUUAGGGGGCCUGAGAGGGUGGUCCCCCACACUGGUACUGAGACACGGACCAGACUCCUACGGGAGGCAGCAGUGAGGAAUAUUGCGCAAUGGAGGCAACUCUGACGCAGCCAUGCCGCGUGCAGGAUGACGGCCCUACGGGUUGUAAACUGCUUUUAUACAGGAAGAACUUUCCGCACGUGUGCGGGAUUGACGGUACUGUACGAAUAAGCACCGGCUAACUCCGUGCCAGCAGCCGCGGUAAUACGGAGGGUGCAAGCGUUAUCCGGAUUUAUUGGGUUUAAAGGGUGCGUAGGCGGGAUAAUAAGUCAGUGGUGAAAUACUGCAGCUCAACUGUAGAACUGCCAUUGAUACUGUUAUUCUUGAGUUCGAUUGAGGUAGGCGGAAUGUGUAAUGUAGCGGUGAAAUGCUUAGAUAUUACACAGAACACCGAUUGCGUAGGCAGCUUACUAAGUCGACACUGACGCUGAGGCACGAAAGCGUGGGGAGCGAACAGGAUUAGAUACCCUGGUAGUCCACGCUGUAAACUAUGAUCACUAGCUGUUGGCGAUACAUCGAUCAGCGGCAAAGCGAAAGCAUUAAGUGAUCCACCUGGGGAGUACGGUCGCAAGAUUGAAACUCAAAGGAAUUGACGGGGGCCCGCACAAGCGGUGGAACAUGUGGUUUAAUUCGAUGAUACGCGAGGAACCUUACCUGGGCUUAAAUGCAGAUUGACGUUUCGGGAAACCGGAAUUCUCUUCGGAGCGAUUUGCAAGGUGCUGCAUGGUUGUCGUCAGCUCGUGCCGUGAGGUGUCGGGUUAAGUCCCAUAACGAGCGCAACCCCUAUCGUUAGUUGCCAGCGGAUAAUGCCGGGGACUCUAACGAAACUGCCGGUGUAAACCGAGAGGAAGGUGGGGAUGACGUCAAAUCAGCACGGCCCUUAUGUCCAGGGCUACACACGUGUUACAAUGGUCGGUACAGAGGGCAGCUACCUGGUGACAGGAUGCUAAUCUCGAAAGCCGGUCUUAGUUCGGAUCGAAGUCUGCAACUCGACUUCGUGAAGCUGGAAUCGCUAGUAAUCGCGUAUCAGCAACGACGCGGUGAAUACGUUCCCGGGCCUUGUACACACCGCCCGUCAAGCCAUGGAAGCUGGGGGUACCUGAAGUCUGUAACCGCAAGGAGCGGCCUAGGGUAAAACUAGUGACUGGGGCUAAGUCGAAACAAGGUA